AUGACUCCCAAACAGAGGCAGACAUGGGUCCGUGACAAAGGCCAGGUUUCUUCGUUCAGCGGCAGCCUUUGGUUUGCAACAGCCACAGCCCCGUCUGUAUUCCCGUUGUCCCCAUGCUGCGAAGAUACUUCUUCCGCCUCCCAGGUCACCAUGGGCUGCUUGGUCUCCGGUUACUUCCCUGAACCAGCCACCGUGAAGUGGAAUUCGGGCGCCAUCUCCUCCGGCAUCCAGAACUUCCCUGCACUACUGCACUCAUCCAGUGGCCACUACAUCUUCAGUAGCCAACUCACCGUCCCGUCCUCCAGCUGGCGGUCCGGAAGUUUCCAAUGCAACGUCGCACAUGCAGCUACCAGCUCCGCAAUUGACAAACAGAUUGGAGCCUGCUCUAGUCAUGAACCAAGGGCCCCAGAAGUCCACCUCCUCCAUUCCUCCUGCAGCCGCAAGACUGAUGACUUCGACAUUGAGCUUGUGUGCCUUAUCUCAGGCUUCUACCCGAGCACAGUCACAGUGAAUUGGCUGGUGGAUGGCAAAUCCGGGGUGCUGGCUUCCCACACGGAGUCCCCCAAGAAAGAUGCUACAGGGAACACCUUCAGCACUACCAGCACUGCCAACGUUACUCAAGUAGCCUGGAAAGAGGGGAAGACAUACACCUGCCAGGUGAUCCACGAGGGUACCAGAGUGGAAAAACAUGCCUCAAAAUGCCCAGGUGACAGCGGUACCUGUGCAACCAAUGGCGUUAAGAUCUCUGUCAUACCUCCGACUCCGGCUGACCUAUACAUGAAUGGAGACCCCAAGCUCAUCUGCGUGGUAUCUCAUCUUGAAAGUGAUGUGGGCCUAAAAGUGAGCUGGACCUGGGAGAAACCAGGAGCCUUGGACCCAGAGCCACUGGAAAUCUCCUCGGACUCAGAUGGCACCUUCACCGCUAAGAGCUCCCUGAUCAUCUCCAAGCAAAACUGGCUGGCAGGGAACAUCUACACUUGCAAAGCAGAACAUCCAUCCUUUGUUGCUCCUCUCAGUAAACCAAUUGCUAAGAACGGAGGNCCGCGCACCCGCCCCCACGUGUACCUCUUUCGCCCUCACAAUGAAGAGUUGAAAUCUCGUGACCCAAAUGUGUCCAUGACCUGCCUGGUCAAAGGGUUCAAUCCUCCGGAAAUCUCCAUCAAGUGGCUCGAGAAUCACAACGUUGUGACGGAAGACACCCAUGUGACCACCCCGAUCCAGCUGGACAGCAGUCGGGAUUCCUAUUAUGUCUAUAGCAAGCUGACAGUCCCCAAGGCUAGCUGGAAUGACGGCAAUUCUUUCACCUGCCAUGUUGUCCAUGAGGGGCUCGACAUGAAGUACACCCAGAGGACCAUUGAGAGAGUUCUGGGUAAAAAACCUUUCCUAGCUGAUGGCUGGUGUGACACUAUCAACAACCGAGCCUAUUGUCGGUACGAUGGGGAAUUUUUUGUUACAACUGAUGAUCAUGCUGACGAGAAAGAGGAAGAACUGGACAGCCUGUGGACCACCAUUUUGGUUUUCUUCAUUCUCUUCCUCCUCAGCGUCUGCUACAGCGCCACCGUGACACUGUUCAAAGUCAAAUGGCUUUUCUCCACUGUGCUGCACCUGAAGAACAAGCCAGCAGGCCCUGAAUACAAGAAUGUAAUCCAGGAGAUGCUAUAGGCUCCUAUUCCCGGGAACCCCACCCAACGGCUCCAGAAGCGGCAUCAAAGAAGAAGUCAUCGGCCAAGCAUCCGUUUUCACUCCGGAUGUCCCAAGCCUUCACCCUG